UACGAAGGGGGCUAGCGUUGUUCGGAAUUACUGGGCGUAAAGGGCGCGUAGGCGGCCGGUCACGUCGGGGGUGAAAGCCUGUGGCUCAACCACAGAAUUGCCUUCGAUACUGGUUGGCUUGAGACCGGAAGAGGUAAGUGGAACUGCGAGUGUAGAGGUGAAAUUCGUAGAUAUUCGGAAGAACACCAGUGGCGAAGGCGGCUCACUGGCCCGGUACUGACGCUGAGGUGCGAAAGCGUGGGGAGCAAACAGG
rnacentral:rRNA from 1 species